UGGGGAAUAUUGGACAAUGGGCGCAAGCCUGAUCCAGCCAUGCCGCGUGAGUGAUGAAGGCCCUAGGGCUGUAAAGCUCUUUCACCGGUGAAGAUAAUGACGGUAACCGGAGAAGAAGCCCCGGCUAACUUCGUGCCAGCAGCCGCGGUAAUACGAAGGGGGCUAGCGUUGUUCGGAUUUACUGGGCGUAAAGCGCACGUAGGCGGACUUUUAAGUCAGGGGUGAAAUCCCGGGGCUCAACCCCGGAACUGCCUUUGAUACUGGAAGUCUUGAGUAUGGUGGAGGUGGGUGGAAUUCCGGGUGUAGAGGUGAAAUGCGUAGAUAUUCGGAGGAACGCCAGUGGCGAAGGCGGCUCACUGGACCAUUACUGACGCUGAGGUGCGAAAGCGUGCGGAGCAAACAGG
rnacentral:rRNA from 1 species